UCUCUUCAAAGUGAAUACAUCUUUCGCCUUUUACUAAAGAUUUCCGUGGAGAGG
ensembl:snRNA U5 U5 spliceosomal RNA